GUGGAAUGCCCUGCCCGAGUGUGUGUUUCUGCAUGAGUACAAUCCGGAUCUCUUCAAGGCUAGAAUAAAUAGGUAUCUCAUAGUAAACUGUCUUAAAAGUGAUCGAGAGCUGCAGCCCGCAGUCUGCAUCAGUCCGCCACCGCAUGCUCCCGUUGAAGACACUUGUUAUGGACCGAAACAUGUCGAGCAAUCUUCUACUUAAAAUACGGCACGUGACCUGCGGCGAGCAGCCAGGCGUUACCCGUAUUUGGCAUAUAAGGGACGCCAUGGGACCGCGAACAUUCUACCAUGACACCCCCCAGCAGCCCAGCUAGCUUACGUUGGAUCAACCGCACCAGAGAGGAAGUUCAGGAACGAUAACUACAUCACAUCGAUCUGAUGUCAUUGCACGUUCGAAUUGGCCGGUUAGACGUAUUAAGUCCUCGUCCCAUCGGUCUUACUAAGGGAUAAUAAUUAUGUAGUUAUUUUUGUAAGUACAGUUUAAUCGUUUAGUUUACUCAGUUUAAACUAAUUUUAAUAUCUAUAUCACUAAUGUAACCUAUAACUUACGUGUUUGGCAUAUCUGUUAGUGUAUGUUGGUUAAUAAAUAAACAAUAUUUCCGUGCUUCUGUGAGAAAAUACCUAUGUGUUAAAUUAAAUUUACUUAUAAUUUAUUUCGCUGUACCGGUGUGCACUGAAGUUUACAAACAAUACGCGUUUCCGCGUGCCAGCAGUUUGAACCGGGUAAGAAAAUGGACGUGCAUGACGACUUCAUUUGUUGCAAUAAUGCAGUUAAUAAUGUUUUUUAAGGUCAGGCAAGGUAAUUACUUGUUUUAUUCGACUAAAAAAAGAUGAGAGCAAUUUUUUACUGACUGGUACAUACCUUCACAUGUUAUUCGAGUGUAUCUGUGCAUACGCGCAUUCAUUCUCUCAAGGGGUGGGCG